ACAGAGAGCUUGCUCUCGGGUGACGAGUGGCGGACGGGUGAGUAAUGUCUGGGAAACUGCCCGAUGGAGGGGGAUAACUACUGGAAACGGUAGCUAAUACCGCAUAACGUCGCAAGACCAAAGAGGGGGACCUUCGGGCCUCUUGCCAUCGGAUGUGCCCAGAUGGGAUUAGCUUGUAGGUGAGGUAACGGCUCACCUAGGCGACGAUCCCUAGCUGGUCUGAGAGGAUGACCAGCCACACUGGAACUGAGACACGGUCCAGACUCCUACGGGAGGCAGCAGUGGGGAAUAUUGCACAAUGGGCGCAAGCCUGAUGCAGCCAUGCCGCGUGUAUGAAGAAGGCCUUCGGGUUGUAAAGUACUUUCAGCGGGGAGGAAGGGAGUGAGGUUAAUAACCUUAUUCAUUGACGUUACCCGCAGAAGAAGCACCGGCUAACUCCGUGCCAGCAGCCGCGGUAAUACGGAGGGUGCAAGCGUUAAUCGGAAUUACUGGGCGUAAAGCGCACGCAGGCGGUCUGUCAAGUCGGAUGUGAAAUCCCCGGGCUCAACCUGGGAACUGCAUUCGAAACUGGCAGGCUGGAGUCUUGUAGAGGGGGGUAGAAUUCCAGGUGUAGCGGUGAAAUGCGUAGAGAUCUGGAGGAAUACCGGUGGCGAAGGCGGCCCCCUGGACAAAGACUGACGCUCAGGUGCGAAAGCGUGGGGAGCAAACAGGAUUAGAUAC
rnacentral:rRNA from 1 species